CGCGAGUGGAGGCAGACGGUAAGCCGCCGGGUUCAUAUCCCGGAGAUCGCCAGUUCAAUUCUGGCCCUCGCUACCA
rnacentral:tRNA from 1 species